CCAAGCUGGAGAAUACAGAAUUAUGAUGAACAAAGCAGCAAUGAAGCUUUGAAAAUAAACUUGGACUUAGCCGAGGAAAGACGGAGCAAGUCAGCAAUCCAAGCUGAAGCUUAUCACCAGAACUGCCACAAUCAGAAAGUCAGUUUGCGUUGAUUUUGUGUAAAAUGGUGACAAUCUAUUAUUCCAUCACAUGUAAAACACAUUUACAAUCCUUUCAAUACAUA
rnacentral:lncRNA from 1 species